UUUACACAAGUCAAUUACUCGUAAGUUGGCUGAUUUUAGCCCUAAUCAUUGUUAAGAUAUGUUUAUUAUACUAAAAUAAGCAUGAGAGAGAAAAUGAUUUCCCCAAUACUGAUAGGGUUGGAGAUACGCAAAGUAAUGCAUUGUUCAUACUGUUGUGGAGAAGGGUGCGGCUAACAAGAAAAGGGCUGAUGCAAUAACAUCAUAGAUUUCAAAACCUGCAAAUUAUUGCUGUGCUGUUCUUUAUUUUAUUUUAUUUUUCUAAUGCUGUGUUCGUGUGGAGCUUCUUUGCCCCAGCAGAAAUGGCAAUUUCGCCUUUGAAUAAAGGAUUCGUGUUCCAUCCAGAAUCAGGGUGGAGAUGCAACUGCCACUCUUAGACACCUUGUUAACCCAAAAAAAGAUGGCAAUAAUAAUAAAAGAACCACAUUCUACUCGUUCUGAUCUAGCGGAUAGUGCUCCAAAUGAAUAUUUUACCGUUGGUGGGAGAGUUGGUGGGAGAAACGAGUCAUUGACCGUUGACCGUUGGAAAUAAGCGAGGGAAUUUUUUUUUUUUUUU
rnacentral:misc_RNA from 1 species